GUCAGCACGUGUACUAAAAUUGAAAGGAUACAGAAAUUAGCAUAGCCUUGUGCAAGGAUGACACACAAAAUCGUUAAAUGUUCCACAUUAAA
rnacentral:snRNA from 1 species